AGUGGAAUUGCUGGGUUAUAUGAUAUGUCUACAUUUAACUUUUUGAGGAAUUGCCAGAAUGUUCUUCAAAGUAACUGUAACAUUUUACAUUCCCUUCAGCAGU
rnacentral:pre_miRNA from 1 species